GAUGAACGCUGGCGGCGUGCCUAAUACAUGCAAGUCGAGCGAACGGACGAGAAGCUUGCUUCUCUGAUGUUAGCGGCGGACGGGUGAGUAACACGUGGAUAACCUACCUAUAAGACUGGGAUAACUUCGGGAAACCGGAGCUAAUACCGGAUAAUAUUUUGAACCGCAUGGUUCAAAAGUGAAAGACGGUCUUGCUGUCACUUAUAGAUGGAUCCGCGCUGCAUUAGCUAGUUGGUAAGGUAACGGCUUACCAAGGCAACUAUGCAUAGCCGACCUGAGAGGGUGAUCGGCCGCACUGGAACUGAGACACGGUCCAGACUCCUACGGGAGGCAGCAGUAGGGAAUCUUCCGCAAUGGGCGAAAGCCUGACGGAGCAACGCCGCGUGAGUGAUGAAGGUCUUCGGAUCGUAAAACUCUGUUAUUAGGGAAGAACAUAUGUGUAAGUAACUGUGCACAUCUUGACGGUACCUAAUCAGAAAGCCACGGCUAACUACGUG
rnacentral:rRNA from 1 species